GGUGCUGACCAAAGUCCUGUGGUGAAAGGAGAAGCAAUGUCCCUGAUAAAAUGAUGAGAAGAGUUGAGCAUUCGAGAGCAGCUGAUGUGGCAACACUCUCCUAAGCAACCAGAGAAUUAUAGCCCGGGUUACUCUAGAAGGGACUUUGUGCAAAACUGACUACACAGAUAUCCAGCUUGAUGAGCAGCUACAGUUUGCAGUGGUGAUGAUGAUGACUUGCAGUUUGGAAGAAGAGUUGACAAGGAGUGAAGGUGUUGCCACAUCCCUUCUGAAGCUGCACUGUCUUCCCCGAGGGAUGCUGGUAAUACUGGUUGCAGAACACAGAAUGGGAAAGCAAAAGUGAAGUGAAAGACUGCAUGAGGAGAGCUUGCAGAAGCAGGAGCUGUGACCUGCUGAGGUCUCUGCUCUCAAGAGGAAGAAAUUUAACUACGAUUCACCUGCAGGCACAGAGGAUGGAGUUAACAUCCCUUCUUUUGGUGGCCUGGGUAUGACUCUCAUUCAUUGUGUCAUGAAUGACAUCCGUGUUACUGAAAGACAAUCUGACCCUGAAAAAUUGAAAACAAGAUCUUCUUUGCAGUUACUUCACGUGGCCCAACUCAAUGGGGAAGAAAGAUUUAAAGGCUGCCAAUCAAACAGAGGAAUGGACAACAUAAUUUAU